rnacentral:rRNA from 1 species
ACUACAGGCCAUUACCAUCCUGAAUGAACCCUAUCUCAUCUGGUAUUGGAAGCUAAGCAGGGCACAGUUUGGGGUUAGUAAGUGGAUGGGAAAACCUAAGUCUGAUUUAUUGUCUAGUA